ACUGUGAAACUGCGAAUGGCUCAUUAAAUCAGUUAUCGUUUAUUUGAUAGUACCUUACUACAUGGAUACCUGUGGUAAUUCUAGAGCUAAUACAUGCUAAAAACCCCGACUUCAGGAAGGGGUGUAUUUAUUAGAUAAAAAACCAACGCCCUUCGGGGCUCCUUGGUGAAUCAUAAUAACUUAACGAAUCGCAUGGCCUUGCGCCGGCGAUGGUUCAUUCAAAUUUCUGCCCUAUCAACUUUCGAUGGUAGGAUAGUGGCCUACCAUGGUGGCAACGGGUAACGGGGAAUUAGGGUUCGAUUCCGGAGAGGGAGCCUGAGAAACGGCUACCACAUCCAAGGAAGGCAGCAGGCGCGCAAAUUACCCAAUCCCGAUACGGGGAGGUAGUGACAAUAAAUACUGAUACGGGGCUCUUUUGGGUCUCGUAAUUGGAAUGAGAACAAUUUAAAUCCCUUAACGAGGAACAAUUGGAGGGCAAGUCUGGUGCCAGCAGCCGCGGUAAUUCCAGCUCCAAUAGCGUAUAUUAAAGUUGUUGCAGUUAAAAAGCUCGUAGUUGAACCUUGGGUCUGGCUGGCCGGUCCGCCUCACCGCGAGUACUGGUCCGGCUGGACCUUUCCUUCUGGGGAACCUCAUGGCCUUCACUGGCUGUGGGGGGAACCAGGACUUUUACUGUGAAAAAAUUAGAGUGUUCAAAGCAGGCCUUUGCUCGAAUACAUUAGCAUGGAAUAAUAGAAUAGGACGUGUGGUUCUAUUUUGUUGGUUUCUAGGACCGCCGUAAUGAUUAAUAGGGAUAGUCGGGGGCGUCAGUAUUCAGCUGUCAGAGGUGAAAUUCUUGGAUUUGCUGAAGACUAACUACUGCGAAAGCAUUCGCCAAGGAUGUUUUCAUUAAUCAGGGAACGAAAGUUAGGGGAUCGAAGACGAUCAGAUACCGUCGUAGUCUUAACCAUAAACUAUGCCGACUAGGGAUCGGACGGGAUUCUAUAAUGACCCGUUCGGCACCUUACGAGAAAUCAAAGU
rnacentral:rRNA from 1 species